rnacentral:rRNA from 1 species
UACGUAGGGUGCAAGCGUUGUCCGGAAUUAUUGGGCGUAAAGAGCUCGUAGGCGGUCUGUCGCGUCGGCUGUGAAAACUCGGGGCUCAACUCCGAGCUUGCAGUCGAUACGGGCAGGCUAGAGUUCGGCAGGGGAGACUGGAAUUCCUGGUGUAGCGGUGAAAUGCGCAGAUAUCAGGAGGAACACCGGUGGCGAAGGCGGGUCUCUGGGCCGAUACUGACGCUGAGGAGCGAAAGCCAGGGGAGCAAACGGG